UGCGAUAGGGUUGCAGCUGCUAAGUAUCGACAGGCCGCCGACCUUCUGCAGUGCGAGCGGAUGAAUAGCUAAAAUUUUCGCAAUAUGCUGGCAGUUCAGCGAAAACCUAUGCGCUUCGACUUCUAAGCGUUACGCCUCAAAAUAUGCAUUUUAACAAUAAACACAAAAUCUUCUUAUAAAAAA